rnacentral:lncRNA from 1 species
AGGCCCACUAUUCGGAGACAUGGAGAAUGUUAUCAUAGAUGUGCAUAUAAAAAACAAGGAACAAGACACAGAAGGAGGACAAAGUGUGAAAGAAGAAGUUGAUAUUAAAAGUCUGACUGACACUGAACUAUGGAAGCAGCUUUGCUCAUAUGGAGUUAACCCUGGGCCAAUAUUACCUUCCACAAGAACUGUUUAUGAGAACAAGCUUCAGCAAUUGAUGACGCAAUGCCCAGGAGCAGCAGCUGGAGAGAAGAGCCGAAAGGUGGAUUGUGAAAGGGAAAAUGUUGGAGCAAAAGUACCACCUGCAGAAGUCGUUCUUCAGAACAGCAACUUCAGAGUAUCAGCAGAAUCUGCUUGUAGUUCUGAUAAUAAAGAACCUUUAGAUGAAAUAACAGAACGCCAGAAGAAACUCUUGUCUCCUGAUUCUGAGCACAGUUUAGCCAAAAUAGUAGCAGAACUCCAAGAGAUAUUACCAGAAGGUAAAAUGGCAUCACAUAGGUCACAAGGAUUAAGGAAGAAAGUUGGCAAUAGCCCUGAGACAAGCAAACAAAAGAAAAGUGAUAAACUGCACAUUGAUUAUGGUCAUCCCGAUGCAAACACCGUAGGAACUAGUUCUCGAAGAAGAACAUUAAGAGAGACUCCUCCUUCACUUAAGAAAUGUCCUGAAAACAAACCACAGAAAACAUGUGAAAAACCAUCUGAAGGACUUAUGCCAAUGCGGAUAAAGAUUGCUGUGUUUUGUGUCUGUGUUUUCCUUCUCUUUGCGUAUGUAGCUAUGGAAACCAGUCCAUUCACAAUCUUCUUUAGCAGAAAAUGAGUGCGACCCUUCUUGAGAGUUCGGUGGAAGACCAAGGAAGGCAAUUUGGUUGGUUAGAUUUCAGUAGCUCAUUAAACAGCAAUUGGGAUAAUCCAGUUUGUGUGCGUAUGUAUUUUAAAGCAUUUUUUAAAAAGUUU